rnacentral:lncRNA from 1 species
UAGGAGGUUGGGGAAUUGAUAUAAAAAGAAAAAAAAGCAGCAGCCGCAGGAGGAGAGAAAAACAUACAGAGGGGAUAAAAGAUUGACGGCUGAAAAUUGGGCAGAGAGCUACGAAGGGAGAGUGAGGGUUUGCGGCUGAAAAUCGGGAGAAAACAAAGCAAAGAAAGAUCAGAGAUAGAGAGGUAACUACGGGCUGAGGGUUUGAGGAAAGAAAGAAGAACCAAGUGAGGAAUAAGCGAGAAGAGUAAAGAAAAUCUGGGGAAAGAGACGAAGGAAAACAAAAUUUUCUGCACAAACCUUUGGAACAAGGCUGGAUUUCCGUCACCUUGCAGUGCGCUUUUCUCCAUCGGAGAGAUCUCUUCUGGGGAACCUCUUGCUUUCUGCAUCUUCUCUGAUCAUUAAAGGACAACUUUGGUGUUGAGUAGCUUCCAUAAAAACGGCCACAAGACCUUCAAAGUUCAGCUCUAAGUCUGCCCGUCACUAGUUUUGAAUCUUCGUCGGCGAGAAUUUGCAGCUUCGAACCUCUACAACGGAAGCAAUCUUUUCAUCCGCUCUGUGUUCCUGUUUCCACCAGAAGUUAAAGGUAAUCUUUUGUAUCCUUAGUUGCUCAUACAUCAUCAGAAUGGACACACAAAAACGUAGAAAAAUUUGGCUACUGGUAUAAUGAACAUGUCUUGAAAUCCUGCGAUGAACAUGUAUCAGUUCCUGGGUCGCUGUUUUUUCGUGUUUGCACAAUAUUGCUGCUGGGUUGGGUGUUAACUGGAAUAGGCUACGGACUGUAGUUUAGUAGUAAAGAUUUUAACUUUGAGAAGGAAAUAACUUUUCCUUGGCUGAUUCAUUCGUUUCUGCAUCUGAAGCCACAUGUCGGAUAGUUGCAGAAAGUUUCCAGCUUUGCACGCUCUUUGUUCUGACUUUUUGGCAUGUGUAGAUCUAGAGUUGGGUUCUGUUUUAACUUGGGUUUUAGGCAAGAAAACAUAGGAAGUCUAUCUUGGUACAUCAUUAGCAAGUUUGGUUGGAGUUCAUGAUAUGGUUAGUUGCUUUGCUUGCUUAAUUCGUGCGAUGCUUGCUGAGAAUGAACUCAGGAGCACAUCAAAGCUUCGUGGGUUUGCUGCCUUUUGCUGUUGCCUGUUCUUGUGUGUAUUUAGUCCUUGGUUAAAAAAAUAAAAGGCAUAAGUUGCAUGAUUUUCGUUAGUUUGGAAGUCUGAAAUGCAUGAGCUAUGGCCGAAUACUUUGCUGGAAAAUGAAUUUCAGAUUGUUAAACCAUUCUACAUGAAUGUCUUGUCCAGAAUUUCUGUGAUGCAUCAGUUCCUUUAUUGUUCUUGCUUGUUUGGAGUUUAAAGUUAAGUAGCUUGUUGCUUAGUUAGAGUUAUGAUAUUGGGUUGAGAAAUAUCUAAUCAAAGCUUUGUAUUUGAAUUAAAAAUCUGGCUUGCACGAUAGAGAAAAGGGCCUCGGCUGGGAAAAAUUGCAGAAAAUCUUGUUUCCUCAAAGUUAGCAUUUUGUCCAGAUCAUUUUUGUUGCAUUUUUGAGUUCAAAAACCUGUUUGAUCCUACUCCUACCUUUGCUUCAAAUCUCUGCAUUUUGAUUUGAGUAGAGAUAUACUUGGGUUAUUUGCAUGAAUAUAGAUUCGGUCAAAUAGGUAAGAGAUUGAAUGAGACUGCAUAGCCGUGAGUUUGCAGAAUCCAUGAGUUUCUUUCUAUGUUUUGAUUGUUUAGAUGUUAAAGUUCCAUAUUCGGUUGCUGGGUUAGAGCUUUGAUGUUUGGAGGGUAAAGUUUAGAUCAAAAUUGAGCAUGCAAAUUGAAACUUGCGUUUGGAAUUUGAAACUGCAGCAAAGAUGUUAGCUGAAAAAUUGCAGAAAGCUUUCUACGUGGAUUGCAUGAGCUGCAUGAAAUAAUUUCCAGAAAAUUGCAUUCCAACCCCCCAAGUCUCCCCUUGUUCCACUAUGACCCAACCAAUUGAAUAAUCUCUUCAUUUUGGUCCUUGGUAGUUUUAUUUUUACAGCUUUAUUGCUUGUUUGCUUCAAUUAAUUACUAUGCUUUGUUUAAAUUGCACUUCAUGCAUGAAUUUAAGAGCUUUAUGACCAUGUAAGCCCGUGUUUGCAUGUUUUCUUUAAUUUUUACAAAUAAAUCGGUACCUUGACCCUUUUAUUAUUUUGGAGGGUAAAUUAGUAAUUUCACUACGUUAGAGCUCCAACUCAAGGGAGGUAUAACUUCUUUUAUCUUUUUUGUCUCUCCUAUGUGAACCAACGUGCUACGUGAGAACUACAUGUCUACUUUGCUUUCCUAGCCUUUCUUUAAUUUCUUUUAUUUAUGUCAUUUACUUUUGCUUUUUAUUUAAGUUAUUCUUUAUGGGGUAUGUGUACACCUCUUGGCUUGUAAUAGAUAGGGUUUGGAGGAGCAUUCGAUGAACAGCUGUUGAAGACUUGUGCCUAGUUAGCAAAUGUAAUAGUUAGGGCCUUAAUCACCUUAUGUGUCUUGCAUGUCUAUGUGUUAUAUGUUUAAUCGUUUUCUUAGGUUUUGGCAUUUAGAUAUGCAUGCUAAGUGUUAUGUGCUAUGUGAUUGACAUGUCUACUCGCUUUCCAUAGCCUGAAUAAAUGUGAUGGAUGAAUGUACGUUUCCGCUAGUCCAACGCUAGUCGGAAUUCAUAGAAUGGGAUAGUCCAACGCUAGACCCUUAGGGAUUUCCCCUCGUUAGUACAUGUUUGCAUGUUCAUUACAUGUCAUGCAUUCUUUUUAGUUUUAUCAUUUUACAUGCCCCUCAAACCCCUUUUCCCUCCAUUUUAGGAUUUUUGCAUUUCAUGCUAGUUAUAGGGUUCAUUUGCUUGAGAGUCCCCUUAAAUAUGGGAUAUAGACGAGUGUGGCUUUUUCUAAGCCUUAGCACGCUUGUAUUUCCUUUAUAAAAAGGGCAAAUUGAGUCACGAUUUAGAUCUCCCCGUACCCAAUAUGCAUGAAUUCCCUAGGCUCAUGCAUUUUUUAAAUCCACUCCACCAUUUUAUACCCUCAUCACACUUUCAUUUUUCCUCCUAUUUUGCACACGUGCACCUUUAUGUUUCUUCACUUGCACACGAACACUUUUAUCAUCACUUGCACACAUGCACUUCAUAUUAUCAUUUCACAUACCGUACCUUGCCCACUCACGAGCACAUUUUCAUUUACAUAUUUAUUGUCUUUUAUUACUUUUUCAAACUCAUGUCCUCACAUUACAUACAUGCAUUCCAUUCAUUUGCAUCCCACUCGCAUUAUUCGUGACUUCUUCAAAAGAUUGUUAUUGGGCUUCACAAUUAAUGUGAUUGGCACCCAACCUUUGAAGAGAAAUUUCCCCAAUACCCCUAGGUCUAGGGUUUGCAUUCAUGUAGUACAUCCAAAUGUAAUAAAUUCUUUGGUUAAAACAAGAAAAUCUUUGAUUAAAUCAACGCAACUAGCCUUGGCUAGGUCGAAGGGGUGCCUUGGAUUUUUAUCAUUGCCUUCCCCUUCGUCAAAUGUGACUCUCGAACCUUUUUCAUUGGUUUACGUGGACUAGGAGUCGUUUAAAAGGGGUUUCUUACAACUUUUUCCUAAAAAAUUCAUUUUUAGGUGACUUGGUACACCUUAACUCAUUACCAAGUGGCGACUCCCAUUUUUUCAAAAAACCCUUUUUAAACUAUAAUUUUGGGUCAAAUCAUCGCAUUUUCAAACCCCCAUUUAGACCCAUUUUUCUUUUAAAUCACAAUUCAUUUUCCAAUCACAAAUUGAAUCAAAAAAUACAUUUUUAAACCAUUUAUUUAUUUAUCAAAAAUGGGGUGCGACAGAAAGAAAACAAAAUAAAAAGGAACAAAGCUUUUUGCUGAACAUCCGAUGCAACUUCGAACACACACCAAGAGGAUUGGAUGUCCAAAAGAUAAAGUAAAAGUUGACCCUGAUGAUCGGAUGAUGGAUCAGACGCAUAGCUGGACCAUCAGACAUCUAAUAGAUUAAAAGGAAACUUUGGAAUUUUCUGUUUCUAUCGGACACAUCUUUUGAAUGUCGUAUCGGAUGUUCGAAACUUCUAACAAAGACUUACUCAACACACCUUCAAACGCAAUAUCGGAUGCUGAGUAAUUGGAUCGAACAUCUGAGAAGGUGUUUGAUGCAGGAUCAAACGUUUGAUAGCUCUAAGGGCUAGUUUUUCAAUCGCAAAUUUUUUUGACCAUUGGAAAGACUUUUGGAGCAAAUUUUCACUAUCUAUAAAUAUUGUCAUGUAUUAAAAUAUGAAAAACUUUUGCCUACAUGAGAUACAAUCUUUUAAUAGUGAUUUUAGGAUAGAAAAAUCUUUAAAUAUUGUAUAGGUGUGGGGAAAGUUCUUGGAUUUGUAAGGUUUCUCAUUAAGGCGGAGUAAAAUCUUGAAGAAGAUAACCUCACUUGUAAGUGAUUUUCAUUGUUAGGGUGAGCAUUCAAUUGUAGUUUCGAGAGAAUUAACUAGAGAGAAUUGCAAAAUCUCUUGACUCAACUAGAGUUGGGAUAUUUAGUGUGAACAAGGGGUGAACUCUUCUUUUUCACAACUUGGUUUCAACAAUUGGAAGAAAAAGUUGAUUGAUUCAACUUCAAGUUUGGGAGGAAGUUGAGAAUUUGUUUAGUUUGCAAUCCUUUCACCUUAUUGUUUUCUUUUUGUCACUUGUUUGUGUCGCUUCAUUUGCUUAUAUUUCUUAUUAUUGCGUUUGGUUGAGUGUUUGUUUACUUAAACUAUUUUGAUUGAAUUGGUUAAAAUUUGGCCUUGCUUUAUUUUUUAUCAACCUAAUUUACCCUCCUCUUAGAUUGCUUUGAGCCUUACACCUUUUAUUAAUGGGCAAAUAUUCUUCAUCUAUUAACUAUUCAUGUUAUUGAUUUCAAACGAACUAAAAUUCAUAACUUGCACCCUCAUCGAUACUCUCUUUUUGGUUGAAUUCUAUUAUGCUCAGGAAAGAAGCUUCUGAACAUUUUUUUUUCUAAAUGUACAUGGCUUCCAAUGACCUUUAUGUAGCUUUUGAAAGCAAACAGACUUGACAAUGAAUAUGGAAAAGGUUCUAAAUGAUGUUUAGGGAGUUUAUAUAGCGAUUUCUAUUAAGAAAAAACGUGCAAAAGCGAAUAUUGGGUGAAGUAUGUGUGCGAGUGUGCUAGUAUGUGAGUGAGAAGAAAAAGAAGUAAAGAAAGAAUGAGGCCCACGUUUUAUUUUAAAUUUACAUGACUCAAAUAUGCAGAUUAGAUUGGAGGCGUAACCCAGGGAUUUGGUUCGCAUAUUCAAAUCAAUGCUUCCCAAAACCUAAUUCAUGGGCCGUGCAAUUCGCGGUGAUUCAUGGGUUUGACUUAUGGAUCCGGCCCACAUUUCAAUCUAGCCUUAAAGCUUAUCCAAGCGCCAUCUGCUAGUGGAUUCUAGUUGGUUUGCAGAUCUGCCUAGAAACAUGAGUUUGCAUUAAUCCACGGGUUAAAUUUGUGGGCUUGAUUUACGUUUCAACUUACAUUUUGUGUUUCUCUGCAACACGUGCAGAAAAUUCUGCAUUUACUAUUUUCACGAGCAUUUCCCCUAAAAUGCAUUAGAUCACUUUUUCAC